UCCCGAAGGGGGGCCUGCGGAAGGAUCAUUACAGAAAUGAUUCGGGCUCCGGCCCGAUCCUCCCACCCUUUGUGUACCCACCUCUGUUGCUUUGGCGGGCCGCGGUCCUCCGCGGCCGCCCUCCGUCCGGGGGGUGGCCAGCGCCCGCCAGAGGACCAUCGAACUCCGGUCAGUGAACGUUGCCGUCUGAAAAACAAUCAAUAAACUAAAACUUUCAACAACGGAUCUCUUGGUUCUGGCAUCGAUGAAGAACGCAGCGAAAUGCGAUAAGUAAUGUGAAUUGCAGAAUUCAGUGAAUCAUCGAAUCUUUGAACGCACAUUGCGCCCCUCGGUAUUCCGAGGGGCAUGCCUGUUCGAGCGUCAUUACAACCCUCAAGCUCUGCUUGGUGUUGGGCACCGCCCUUCCGCGGGCGCGCCUCAAAGACCUCGGCGGUGGCGUCUUGCCUCGAGCGUAGUAGAAAACACCUCGCUUUGGAGCGCACGGCGCCGCCCGCCGGACGAACCUUUUGAACUUUCUCAAGGUUGACCUCGGAUCAGGUAGGGAUACCCGCUGAACUUAAGCAUAUCAAAAGGCCGGGGGGAAA
rnacentral:rRNA from 1 species